CCUACGGGAGGCAGCAGUGGGGCAUAUUGCACAAUGGGGGAAACCCUGAUGCAGCGACGCCGCGUGAGUGAAGAAGUAAUUCGUUAUGUAAAGCUCUAUCAGCAGGGAAGAAAAUGACGGUACCUGAGUAAGAAGCCACGGCUAACUACGUGCCAGCAGCCGCGGCAAUACGUAGGGGGCAAGCGUUAUCCGGAUUUACUGGGUGUAAAGGGAGCGUAGACGGCAUUGCAAGUCUGGAGUGAAAGGCGGUGGCUCAACCCCAGGACUGCUGUGGAAACUGGAAGGCUGGAGUGCAGGAGAGGUAGGUGGAAUUCCUAGUGUAGCGGUGAAAUGCGUAGAUAUUAGGAGGAACACCAGUGGCGAAGGCGGCUUACUGGACUGUAACUGACGUUGAGGCUCGAAAGCGUGGGGAGCAAACAGGAUUAGAUACCCGGGUAGUC
rnacentral:rRNA from 1 species